AUCCAAAGCGGGGAUGGGGGUGGGGGCGGACGGGGGCGCGAGGAUGGGAUGUGCUUGGGCUACGCCUGGUACACGCUUGUUAUUGGUUGUUAUGGCAGAUUUGAAAUUUCCUUUUUCCUUUUAGUAAUAGAUUAAAAAACCCAACAUUGUCAGCUGAAAUUUAGGUUACCAAAGCGCACUUUUCUUUCGAUUUUUUUUUAAAAAGGUCAUUUUAUACACUGAGCUAUAUAAGCUGUUUUUAAUAUUGGGUUCUAAUGCUUUAAUAUGCCUGUUGUCUUUGUCCAUGGAGUUUUCUUGGCAGGGAUACUGGAGUGGCUUGCCGGUUCCUACUCCAGGAGGAUCACGGUUGGUCAAAACUCUCCACUAUGCCCUGUCCGUCUUGGGUGGCCCUGCAAGGCAUAGCUCAUAGCUUCUCUGAGUUAUUCAAGCCCCUUUGAGAGCUGGACCAUAAAGAAGGCUGAUUGCCGAAGCAUUGAUGCUUUUGAAUUAUGGUGCUGGAGGAGACUCUUGAGAGUCCCAUGGACUGCAAGAAGAUCAAACGCAUCCAUUCUUAAGGAAAUCAGCCCUGAGUGCUCACUGGAAGGACAGAUCCUGAAGCUGAGGCUCCAAUACUUUGGCCACCUCAUGAGAAGAGAAGACUCUCUGGAAAAGACCCUGAUGUUGGGAAAGAUGGAGGGCACAAGGAGAAGGGGACGACAGAGAACAAGAUGGUUGGACAGUGUUCUUGAAGCUACGAACAUGAGUUUGACCAAGCUGCAGGAGGCAGUGGAAGACAGGAGUGCCUGGCGUGCUCUGGUCCAUGGGGCCACGAAGAGUCAGACAUGACUAAACAACUAAACAACAACAAUGCUUUAAUCUGCCCUGGGACUGUAGGAUGAAGAGUGGGUAAUUAAUCAUCAUCAUCAUAACCCAUCCUGGCACUUUAGAAUGAAGAGUGGGUAAACAACAACAACAACAACCACCCAUCCUGGCACUGUAGGAUGAAGAGUGGGCAAUUAAUACUACUACUAACCCAUCCUGGCACUAUAGGAUGAAGAGUAGGGAAAAUACCAACAGCAGCAGCAGCAGCAGCAACAACAACCCAUCCUGGCACUGUAGGAUGAAGAGUGGGUAAUUAAUAAUAAUAUUGUACAAAUCUUUUUCAGUACCCUAAAGUAUUGGGAGGAUGAGAUAUAGGCGCCUUCCCUUUGCUUAAUCACUAGUUUUACUGGGGUACAAUGCCAGCCUCUGCUAAAAGAAUUUGAGUGGUGCUGGUUAGCUGCUUAGCUGCAUUCAGGGGAUUGGUAGUGGUGUGCAAAGCCCUGGGCAAUUUGGGAACAGAAUACCUAAAAUAUUGUUUCAGCCAUUGUAUAUCCAGCUGAGCUUCCUACAGGUAUUGCCACAACAAGAGCUCUAUGAUGUACAAAUCAGGCCUUCAUUGUGGUGGCACCUGCCCUUUGGGACUCCCUCUUGCUGCACAUCAGACAGAUGCUGUCUCUUUUAUCUUUUUGGUGCUCACUGAAGACCUUCCUCUUCCAACAAGACUUUUAAGAAGAUUUAUAUCCCAGCCUUUUUUCUUUAUUGUAUUUUUAAAAAUAUUUUCAUUGCAGAUGAUUUUAUUGUAAAUCAUCCUGGGGUGUUUUAUGGGAAGUGAUUCAUAAAUUAAUGAAUCACAUAAGAAAUGACACUCUGAAAUAGCUAACCUUGUAGAAAAAUACGAGUGCAAAGUUAUUUGCAUUGCUAUUUGUGAAUGAAGUAUCUCAAGUGAACUUGUUUCAUGUUGCACGGACAUUACCGCAACAACCUUGUGGCAUUUACCCUUAUAGGCUGUGGUGUAAUUUCUCUUAAGUGCAGGAAGUAAGUCCCAUUGAACUCAUACAGAGUUCCCUGAACUGUCAUAAAUUCAUAUACAAAUACACAGUUCAUUGAACUGUCAACCACUAACCUUUUACAGGCUGUUACUUGGAACAUACAUGUUUAUUUAGCAAAAUGUAUACACCACUUGAUUGUAACAAAAUAUCCAAGCAGUUUACAAGAAAUAUUAAAUUGUCAGGAAAACAGUUAAAAACAAAUAAUGAAGAACAUUUUAAAACAAAAUCAGCAGUAAACUAAAAAGGGACAUGUCUCUAUAAAAGGUAAAGGUAAAGGACCCCUGACAGUUAAGUCCAGUCGCAGACGACUCUGGGGUUGUGGAGUUCAUCUUGCUUUUAAAGGCCGAGGUAGCUGGUGUUUGUCUGCAGACAGUUUUUCCGGGUCAUGUGGCCAGCAUGACUAAGCCGCUUCUGGCGAAACCAGAGCAGUGCACGGAAACGCCGUUUACCUUCCCACCGGAGCAGUACCUAUAUAUCUACUUGCACUUUUGGCGUGCUUUCGAACUGCUAGGUUGGCAGGAGCAGGGACCGAGCAACAGGAGCUCACCCUGUCACGGGGAUUCAAACCGCCGACCUUCUGAUCGGCAUGCCCAAGAGGCUCAGUGGUUUAGACCACAGCGCCACCUUGCCUAAACAAAAAUGUUCCAAGCAGGCGCCAAAAAGAAUACAGAGAAGGUGCUGACCUGAUGUCAAUAGGCAGGAAGUUCCGAAGUGUAGAUGUUGCUACUCUGUAGCAAAGGGAAGUGCCACUGCUGUGGCUGCUGCAGUGGCAGUAGUGGCAUCUUCCACUGCUGCCAUCCUUGUUGAGAAAGGGGCCUGCAGUGAAGCAGGUUUGCUGCUGCUGCUCACCAACUGCAGUGAGAUUGCUCUGGACGGUGCAGACAAGUUUGACCCCUUCCUGCUGCGGAGUUGGUGAGGCAUGCAGCUGUAGCUGUCAUGGCAGCUGUGGGUGGAAGACAGGAGGCUGUGAAGAGCACCUGACCUCAGCACAGCUGCAGGAUCCACCCUACUUAGCCCAUCCGUGCCAUGCUGUGACUUCCUUCUUCCCCCCCAACCCCUACCUCAGCUGUAUGACACUAGUCCUGAAAAGUGGACCUCUCCACCUUUUCCAACAGGAGGAGCAUCAGCUCAUAGGAGACAAGCAGAUCAGCACUGGACACACACACACUGCCCCAUGCAUCUACUAGAAGUGCAUCUGGGUCCUAAUAGAUCAUUGCUUCUAUUUUGUCUUUUGUAAUACAGUGGUACCUCGGGUUACAGACUCAGUUCGUUCCAGAGGUCCGUUCUUAACCCGAAACCGUUCUUAACCUGAGGCGCACUUUUGCUAAUGGGGCUUACUGCUGCCGGCACGCUGUUGGCGCACGAUUUCUGUUCUCAUCCUGGGGCAAAGUUCUCAACCCGAGGUACUACUUCCGGGUUAGUGGAGUUUGUAACCCGAAGUGUUUGUAACCUGAGGUGUUUGUAACCCAAGGUACCGCUGUACUUAAAAAAUGUUAUCUGUGUGAAGUAUUAAAAUGGCUAUUCUUCAGGGUCUAGCCUUCAUCUCAGAAAAUCAUGAAAUUAAAUAUUUGAAUGGAAGGCAAAUGCAUCUUUAUCUCAGUGGACUGGCAGAGACAGGAAGACAAAAAGCAGUUUUUGACAUAGCUAAAAGCUUGUUUGAGAAAAGGCUUCAUGCUCCAUUUGAACGCAUGUUCCUUUUGCCCCAGUUAAACAGGUUUUUAAAACAAUACAGAAACCAGUUUAUGCAACGGAAAUGUGGGAUAAAUGUACACACCAGAAAAUGCCAUCUGACUGUUGGACAGUUUUCAGCUUUCUGUCCACAACCAAAAUGUCAGUGCAUUCCUUUCCUUCCAGCUCCUCACAAUCACCUACUAUCUAAAUUACCGUACCUACGUUGCUAAAUGUUUUUAUUUAGCUGCAGUUAUUCUGUCAUUAAGUAUGACCAAUCCACUGAAAUGAAAUAAUCUAGAUUGUUUAAACUCUUGUUAGUGAGCCAGCAUGAAGGACUUUGGACCAAAGGUAGGUCCAUAUAUUACAAAUACUCGAGCAAUGUAAUGUUUCCUCUGAAGUAUUCUUUGCUGGACACUUUGGAGAAAGGACAAUGAAGUAAAUUGGCCUGUGAUCAAAUCCAAAAAGUAGCACCAAUCUUCUUCAUUUAAUGGCAUCUAGUGGCAAUUCAUACUUUCCAGAAGUGACCAGGCAAGUGGCGACCUGUCAGGCUAGUCUAUGCAAAAAUGUAAUUUCUUUUCUUUUAUACAUAAAUAACAUUUCCCUCCUAAAGAUGCAUUAAUUAAUCUCGAUCCAUACCUUAUGUAAUGCCACCUGAUUUAAUGCAAAUUAACUGUUCUCAAAGCAAAUUGGAAUCAGAGAACAGCCUGAACAUUUGUUUCUCAUGUUUUCUUUCCUUAUCUGAUCAGACAGCAUUUUCUGUCGUGAUUGUUAAGUGUAGCUAAUUCAAUCCCAAGGCUACAAACUGUGUGCCAGCUUGGACAGAAAGCCUUAAUAUUUUUUGCAGGCCAACCAUAUCUUUGAUUCUUCCCUGUUCUUCUGUAUUUGGAAAGAUUAUAAGAUUUGGUCCAAAAGUUUUUCGUUGAAGGAGAAAGGGGAGAAAAAUAAUGCUAGAAACUACUUGUGUGUUGCAAGAAAAGAGUGUUCAUCUCUCUACAGAAGGGGUGGCCAACCCAUGUUCCAUGGGCCGCAUGCGAUCCCCCAUAGGUUUUGUGGUGCUUCCCCAGGACCCCUCCAAAAUGUGUAAUUUCUCAAAAUAAUUAAUUUUAAAAUUAUUUUUAGCAAAUCCUUUGUUUCCCUUGAUGUGAUGCUAUGAUGUCAAAAGGUUUUUUUUUUGUAGACCCUCAAGAGCACCCCAAUUUUUUAAAAAGUUUCAAAAAAAUUUACAUUUUUUCUUGAUUUCUCCCAUAGGUCCCCCACUGUGAUGCCAAAAUAGUUUUUGUAUCCACCAAGGCCUCUUGUGCCUCAUUUGCUUUGAUUGUUUGCUCUUUUUUUGCUGACCGCUCUUGUGGGUUCGCUGCUGCAAUUAUGUGCUGCCAAAGAGUUUUUGUAACUGCCCCGCCCCCCCAAAAAGUGUAUUUCAAAAAUGACUACACUCACUUUUACACUUUGGACCUGCAAAGUUUGACAUAAGGGAAUUUUAUUAUUGAUUUUUAAAUAAAUUUAAAGCAAAAAAGAAUAAAGAGAAUAUGAGAGAUGGAGAAAAAAAAAGGAAAGACACCCUCUCAUUAAAAAUAUAAUAACCUUUGAUACAUCCACACAAAGAAUGGUUUCAAAUGUAAGAAGGGCAGUGAGGCCCUUGGACCAUUGCAGAAUACAGUGGUACCUCGGGAUACAGAUGCUUCAGUUUGCAGACACUUCAGGUUACAGACUCCGCUAACCCAGAAAUAGUACCUCGGGUUAAGAACUUUGCUUCAGGAUGAGAACAGAAAUCGCACGGCAGCAGUGGGAGGCCCCAUUAGCUAAAGUGGUGCUUCAGGUUAAGAACAGUUUCAGGUUAAGAACAGACCUGCAGAACAAAUUAAGUUCUUAACCUGAGGUACCACUGUAGAUGGUUCAAAGAUAUUUCAACGUGAGGAUUGACCAUGGUUCAUGUGACACUUGAUAUACGAUGGUCAAUUUUUAGCUUUAUAAGCCAAACUGAAACUGAAACUUUGGAAAUAGGGGCUGUGUCUUGAAGGAAACAGGCAGCACUUGCUUGCAAUACCCCCCCCCCCCCGGUAUUAUAGAGUAGGCAGGCUCCAUUUUGUCCUGUUUCGGAAGAAGCAAAGUGGAGCAAUUAUUACUGUGAUUUGAAUAUUCAAGAAAAGGGGCUUUCUCUCCAUCUUGACUUACUCUUUUCCUUGUUCGUCACUUCAUGUUAUGCCUGCCUGCUUCCAGUCACAGAGGAAAUGUUCAGGCUCCCAUUCCCCUCCCUGCCCGUGGCCUGCCAAUGCUAAUGAAUGGCAUGUGUCUGCCUUGCAGGGUACCUUCAUCCAAACUGCAGAUCUAUUUCACUGGUGGGCUGGUAGCGUUUUAGACAAUUCCUAAUUAAAGAACUAGAGAAAGGAGAUGGAAAAACCUAUUAGGUCAUCCAGUUCCCACACAGUAAUGCCCUAUUCAGGUUUGUUCCCCACAGGACAUUUUCUUCUCCUUUCCAGAGGGGGCACUACAGGUCAGACUCAGUGCUAUUUUUAUUAAACAGUCCUCCCAGAUUUAAGAAACUUCAGGAAAUUUCAGCAGCAAGUUGGCUGCUGGAUUAUUACAGUCUACAUUUUUGAAGUCAUAACUAUUAAUUCUUUGUGGCACUGGGAGAUACCUUGGGGCAAAAAAACCACCCACAUUAUAGUUAGAUCUACAGCCUCUCACAAAAUGAAACUGGAAGACACAGGCUAUAAUCCUAAACCAACUUUCUGGCACAAACUCUAUUCCCUGCUUUGAAAAGCCUUGACAAAUCUGAUUGCCAGUGGCAACUGCUUCUAUCAACUGCACCUGCCCUGACAAAAAUACUGAGCAGCACGCAGAUCCCCACUUCCUUCACGAUUUUGCAAAUUGGAGAGAAUUUGCAGGUCUCAUGCGCACCUUUAGGACAGGCAGAAUAGCUCCCUUUUGAGUUCUCUGGCGUGAACUUGGGGGAUAGGUGGGGAUCUCUCAAUUCCUGCUGAGCUUCGGAGGUGUUUCCACCUGUCUCUUUACUUACUGGAAUAUUUAUAAUCCACACUUUGAUUACAGCAUAUAAAGGCGGGACACAUCACACAAAAUAUAAUUAAAAAAAGGCAUCCAUUAAAACAUAAUUCAAAAAAUCAGGAAAUACUGGUUGCGCAACAGAUAAAUUCCUGUUGUGAAGCCCUGUCUAAACUAUACAUUUUUCAGAAGACGUCUGAAAGAGCUGACAUCUGUUGCACAGUCCACCACAAUAUGAGACCUCCUCCUGAAUCCUCUGCAUGCUAGGGAACUUGGGGGCUGCCCUUUUAAGGGGUGGGGCAGGCAGAAACAGAGACAUCCCUGCUGCUCCUGCCUCCUCCAAGCCCAGUGCAAUAUGGGAGACCUCUCACUUCCCCAAGUCCUCUGUGUGUGCCAGAGGAGGUGUGUGCAUAUGUGCGAGGCGGUUGGUUGGUGAUGCCCAUAAAAAAUGAUUGCUCCUCUGUGGUCAUGGGGAAACUCAGCAGCAUGCAAUCUGGGAGAUUACCCUUGAAUUCUGAUUUGGAGGUAGAGUUCUUGAUGACAUUUCAUUGUCAUCAGAUUAUGUUAUCAGAAUGGGAGUAGGCUCACCCACUCGGGUAUAUUUCCUUUGUAAGCAUGGAUCUUGAACCCUUGCUGGGAAAAAGCAGCUUGUGCAAUGAGGCUAAAGUUGGAUGAGGAAAGUGCUGGGAGAGGGAAGGGAGUGCCCUCCUCCUGCUUCCUGCCUCUUGCUCGAAAUUGUACCUUCCUGAUACUUCUUUGCAAAGGUGAAGCAACAGCCAGCAUUUAAAGGCACAUGGUGGAAUCAGCAUAUGUAGUUUUGCCCGGAUGGACCAUUGGAACAUUCUCUUGGAAAUGAUGCAUUUAGAAUAUAUAAUGGGAAUCUUUGCUUCCAUUUCAAUUUAGGAUAAGGCCUUAAAGCCCACAAAAAGGCAUAACGGUGGGAAAAUAUGAAUAACAGAGGAUGAUGGCACACUGAAUAGGGAAAAGGGGGAACUGGCCUCAAGAUGAAAAAGUGGACUUGAAAACAACAUGUUUAUAUCGCCAAGGUUUCUUGGUUUUCCCAGUGGACAUGGCUAUUUUUCAUAGUAAAACAACCAAGUCAUAAUUUUAUUAGAUUUCCUUCAGGCUAAGUGUAAACAAGUCAAAUCCAGUGGGGAAAUUAAUUGAAAUGUAUUUUGCAACAACAUUCUAGUCUAAAAUGAUUUAUUCUACUACAACGUUUGUUCAAUAAAGGAAAAGUAAGUGAAGAUUUAAAGAAUAAGGUUAAGAAAGCAAACAUUUGAAAGCAAAGAAAUCCAAAAUUAAACAGUUCCUUCCCUCGGGGGCUAGCACAUGUCCUUUCCUUUGCAUUGUGAAAGAGGUGUUAAAACAAACAGCAACUUAAACCAAAAUAAUUGGACACUUUAAAUGAAGUUCACAAAUAUCAAAUAAAAUAACCGUUAUUAUGUUGUUUCAUUUAUUCACAUUUCUCACAAACUAUUAAUUUAUGGAUUGUGAAUACAGUGGUACCUCGGGUUAAGUACUUAAUUUGUUCCGGAGGUCCGUUCUUAACCUGAAACUGUUCUUAACCUGAAGACCACUUUAGCCAAUGGGGCCUCCUGCUGCUGCCACGCCGCUGGAGCACGAUUUCUGUUCUCAUCCUGAAGCAAAGUUCUUAACACGAGGUACUAUUUCUGGGUUAGCGGAGUCUGUAACCUGAAGCAUAUGUAACCCGAGGUACCACUGUAUAUUAGGUAUGCCUUCCUUAUUUUGCACUUUCCUCUGCUUAUUCCUUUUGUGCUUACCUCAUUUACUGGUGCAGAUUUAAUGCUAUUGUGCUGGCCACUUGGGUGUGGUGGGGCGGUGGCAGGAAUGGUUCAGUUUUCAGUUCUUUUGCUUUUUGGCAGCUAUCUUUGCAAUUAUGAUUUUUGGCAUUGCAAUUAUUUGUGUACUUGGUAUGCCAGAUAGCUAACAAGAGUAUCCUGCAGUUAAAUAUAUCUGAUAUUUGCUCCUAAAUAGAAAGCAACUGUGCUAGUACUUGCCUUUAUUUCGAGACAUUCCUUAACUCUCUGAAACCUCCCACCACCAUCCCCUUCCCUCCAGCAGUUUCUGCCACUACAAAUCUCAUUUCCUUCUCACUGUGUAGGAGCACAUUUUCCUCAGGAGGACAUAGCCCUAUGCCUACAUUCAUUUGCAGCCCCUCAGCACUAUUCUUCACCGCUAUCCCUUCAGCCAACAAAACCUGGUUCCUCAACUGUCCUUCCUCUAUGAAAACAGAAUAUUUGGAAGGAGGGAAAAGGAAAAAAACUGACAUUCAAAUGAAGAUUGCCACUAAGCAUUGGGAAAUUUUCUUAUUUUUAUCUGCCUAUUUAACAAUUAUUAUAUGGCUUGUAAAAAGCGUCAGAAUAAGUGGUUUACAAAAACCCAAUAUUAAAAGUAUCAGUGAAUGACAGUUGAAAACAGGGAUUUAAAAAUAUUGAAUUCUUGGUGUGAGUGGGCAAGAGAGGGAAAAGGGGCCUGAAACCUGAGGACAGGUCUGGCUCAGCACGUCUUCACCUGAGGAAAUAUAGGUGAUACGUUACCAUGGGAACUAAUUCUUAGACUAAUUCUUAGUUGGAGACAGUUUGGGAAAGCUCCCUGGGGAAAGUGAGCUCAGAAAGCCAUUUCCCCACAGAUGGGGACUGGAUUCAAGAAGUACCAUUUCCUUAAGGAGCUGGGUAAGGAAAUCAGCCUUUUCUCAGUCAUGCUUCAUGAAGGAAGUGUAGGGAAGCUCUGUAGUUCCUCCAACAAGCUUCCUGCCUGGACUAGGAUUGCUCAGGGUAUGACUUUCCCUUAUCCCAGCUUCCACUAUUGUAGCCCGGAAGACCAAUCUGACCCUCUCUGGGUCGUCCCCCCCACACUUUUCAGUGAGUACCACCAUGAUGAUCUUCUUUAGGCCUUCUUAUGACUGCUUCAGCUGGAUGGCUUUAAUCUUCUAUCCAGUUCUUUGUGCUUUGUGUGUGGCUUAUGGACAAGCCCAAUAGAAUUUGCGUUCUCCCUUUUCUCCUUUCGCCAUCUUGUCUUGCUAAUGAACUAUCAAUUUCUUCUUCCUUUCAAGCCUGGAAGAAGCAACAGUAUUUUAUUUAUUAGUUUCUUUGAAAAAAGAAAAUCAGUAUACAUUAUUUGGCAAACUGAGUAACAAAUAAUAACAAAAACAGGCCAAUUGGAUCUCUUUCCAGUUUCUGAAAUCAAUGUACAAUUUUAGCUUCCCUGUUUUGGGUGGCUUCACCGAUUGCACAUCUUUUUACUGAUGUUUUCUCCAAGCCUUCCCUUUGCACACUUUACAGAGUUUGAUUCACGUUUUCAGGCAGUUACUGAUAGUUGCCAGCUUGGAAAAGAUCCGAUAUUAAUUCCCCAAUGUUAUUCUGAUCCUUCUAAAUUGGCCAGAGCAGGUGACUUUUGGGUGACCUCUGGAAGGAUAAAGCACUGAGUAAAGAGAAAAUUGGAAGAAAAAUAUUGAUGUUUUUGAUUUUAUAAAAUCUUAAUGGGUGGAUGUGAGAUUUAAACAAAGAUUCAAAUUGGUUGGAUUAGAAAUUUUAGGUGAAGGUUCAUGUUGACAGUUAUGUCAUCCAAGCCAGUUUACUUCAUUUCUAAUCAAUGUGUGUACCCUUUGCUCUGCAUUACACAUUUCCCAAUGAAUGUUUGUUGAUACUGCGAUGGAGACAUUUUCAUUACUCAGAGACCUGUGGCCUGUGAGAGGUGGGAACUGCUGUGAAAUACAGAACUCUUUGGUUCUUCUCCGCUCAAGAAAUCACAGGCCUUUUAGUCAGGUGGGUUUAAUCUCCCAGGAAAGUUUCAUGAGAAUAUGUUUGAAAUAUUGACUAUCCUAGGGAAGGAUAGUCAUCUUUUAACCCAGAUCUUGGAGACCCCUAGCAAAGUUUAUUGCUGGUUCUAAGUCUCGGGGGACUGCUCCACCACAAUUUAUCUCAUUUUACACCUGUCUAACUCAUUUCUCAUUUCCACUCUUCCUGCUUUCUCUGGCAUAGGGUAUCUGGUUCAUGUAAACGUUCUGAGCCAUUGUCUGAAAGUAGUAAUGUACUGGAUGGAUGUUAAUAAAUUGAAAUUUAACCCAGAGAAGACAAUGGGGGCUGCUAGACUAUUACUAUUUUACAGUAGGAUUCAAUCACAUACCGGCCCUUUCUUGGUGCAAUGCUGCCUAACCUCAGAAACAAACUAGGAUGAAUGCUCAAUAAACAGGUUGUCUGAAAGUGCGCAAAUGUCAGGACUGCUGAUAUGGAAAGAGGAAAUCAACCCAUCUUGGAUGGGGUAACACUUCCUUGAAGACUCAGGUUUGCACUUGUGAAGUAUUCCUGGAUCCUGCCUCCUCGUUCCUUGAUGCUCAGGUGGUGGCUAGGAGUGACUUUGCCCAGCUUAGGCUGGUACGUCAGUGUGUCUAUUCCUGGAGUGGUCCAGUCUGGUUGGGGCUACACACGUCUUAGUUACAUCAAGACUGGAUGACUGCAAUGUGCUCUAUGUGCAGCUACUUCUGAGGUGUGUUUGGAAACUUCAGCAGUCCCAUACUGUGGCAGUCAGAAAGCUGAUAUGAACUAGACCUUGGAAGCUUGCAAGUCUCAUUAAAAGAGCCACAAUGACUUCUGGUUCAUUUCUGGGCAUAGUUCAAAGUGCUGAUCAUUAACUUUUAAAGAUUAUAAAUGAUUUUGGAUCAGAGCAUCUAAAGGACUGUCUGCUCCAGGUUCUGAGACCCUGAGCUUAUCCCCUGAAGUCCCCAGUGUAACUAUAUUAUUGCCAUCUGGAGGGCUACUCUUGUGCACAGCAGAAGUGGGACAACACUCCCCACCCCCUGGGACAUUAGUGGUAUGAAAAGUUACAGAGUUUUCCUGCAGGACAUGCACCUACUACAAACGAAGUAUUAUGACCAACCAAAAACUUUUGCAGGUGCCAACGGUGUUGGAAUUGUGAUUGCAUAUAACCGCCCUGAUUACGUGAGCACAGACCAUGAUGAAUGCUUGAUAAAAAGUACGUCCGCAGGGGCCCUCAAAUGCAAGAGUCUGAUAACUGUUUAUUUCUUCUGCUUUUCCCCAAGUUAAUUGGCCAUAGUAGAGAGUAACAAGCUUGGGAAAGUUUUCUUAAAAGAGGACAGGUUAGAUAAACAACCUCUGGGCGGAUCUAUCAGCAUGAUGCUGAAGCUUACGUAGGUGGAGAGAUGCACAGCCGUCAUAGUUUAUUGUUAUUAUGAGCUUGGUCUGUGUUCGUGCAUGGCUUGUGAAAUGGGGGCAAGAAUAUAUGUCUGAGACUUAGACUCUUGUUGGCCACUCGGUUUUUUGUGUUCAUGUCACAGAUUCUAAACAAAAGCUAGAAGUGAAGUGGUUGUAAGGAAAUGCUCAGAGAGUUUGAAAGUGGUGUUUUAGCAGCGGCCUUUUCUCUUGAGUGUCCUUCUAGCAUCUGUAUCAUUAACAACAGAGAUGAAAUGGUUUUAGGAAAGGAAAGCUCUUUCAGAAAGCAUUUUUUUCUGCAGGCAUUCCUAGCACCAAAAAGCAUUGGCAAGAGUAGGCCUAGGGAAGAAGCUGCAGAAAAUAUGUAUUCCAUGGCAAAGGAGCUGUAGGAACAAAUGCCAAAAGGUCUAACUUAACUUCACUUUCUCUCAGCCUUAGUUCCCCAUUCGUAAAAUGGCACGAUAAGCUACCAUAUGGAUUGAUGAAAUACAGUUUGUAAAGUCCUACUUAACCUUCUCAAUAUUUUUUGCUGUUGAUAGUUUGUAAGGAUCUGCUUCUGUAGACUUGAACCAUCAAUUUAUGUAAUCUUUGCAACAAAGGGUGAAAGAGGAGAGCGCAAAAUAUGGUCUGAAGCUCAACAUAAAAAAAAAACGAAGAUCAUGGCCACUGGGCCCAUCACCUCCUGGCAAAUAGAAGGGGAAGAAAUGGAGGCAGUGAGAGAUUUUACUUUCUUGGGCUCCAUGAACACUGCAGUAGUCACGAAAUUAAAAUACGCCUGCUCCUUGGAAGAAAGGCGAUGGCAAACCUAGACAGCAUCUUAAAAAGCAGAGACAUCACCUUGCCAACAAAGGUCCGUAUAGUUAAAGCCAUGGUUUUCCCAGUAGUGAUGUAUGGAAGUGAGAGCUGGACCAUCAAGAAGGCUGGUCGCCGAAGAAUUGAUGCUUUUGAAUUAUGGUGCUGGAGGAGACUCUUGAGAGUCCCAUGGACUGCAAGAAGAUCAAACGUAUCCAUUCUUAAGGAAAUCAGCCCUGAGUGCUCACUGGAAGGACAGAUCGUGAAGCUGAGGCUCCAGUACUUUGGCCACCUCAUGAGAAGAGAAGACUCCCUGGAAAAGACCCUGAUGUUGGGAAAGAUGGAGGGCACAAGGAGAAGGGGACGACAGAGAACAAGAUGGUUGGACAGUGUUCUCGAAGCUACAAACAUGAGUCUGACCAAACUGUGGGAGGCAGUGGAAGACAGGAGUGCCUGGCAUGCUCUGGUCCAUGGGGUCACGAAGAGUCGGACAUGACUGAACGACUAAACAACAACAACAACAAGGAUCUGUUUCUGUAGACUUGGACCAUCAGUUUAUGUAAUCUUUGCAACAACUCUGCGAGAUAAAAUAUUAUCACCUCUGUACAGCAGAUAAGGGGCUGAAUAAUGGCCUAACUUUACCCAUGGACCAAUGCAGUGGUUCUCAAAGUUUUUAUAGUGCUGGAAUCCUUUACAAAAUUUUGGCAGAACCUUUACAGUAAAAUUUAAUUUUUAUUUUUUUAAAAAAGCAAAGCAAAACAGAAUGGGGUUGAUUAUUGGGAGAUCAAGGAAGGGAGAGCCAGACAGAGUGGCAACUUUUAAAAUUAGUGACUUUGAGACUUAAAAAAACUUGGCUGUUGGUCUCCUCAUCUCUGAUAGGAGAAGCCUAUGCUUUGCUCCAGCUCAUUGGAAAGUGCAAAGAUUCCUAUGAUGUGGGAUGGCACAGGCAGCCUGGCAUUUAUAUUCUAUACAAUUAAAUAUCCUGUUGGACUGUUUAAAAUCUAUUAUUUGUCUCUAGUGUUACUUGAAAUGGUUUCCAUGAAAGGAAGUUAAUACCCUCCUCUGUAGACUCUGAACUAUUUAGCACAUAUAUACAAAAAAAACCUAAUAUAUACUCUCCUGGAUUCUUUUCAAGGAACGGUAGAGCCUUGUGAAAUCUCUUAGACUGCAAUCCUGUGCACACUUACCUAGUAAUAAGCCCCAUUUAACUUAAUCGUACUUACUGAAUAUACAUGCAGUGGAUUGUGCUGUUCAUCAUGUUUUAAAACACAAGUUCCUGUUUCAGUUGAAUACUUUCUUCCUAAUCUGCUCCUUGCAUUUGAGAACUUUGUAUGGAUUUCCCCUCAUCAAACUUCCUUUGAGACUAGCAGCUUUGACAUGUGAGUGUAUUUGAGAACAUGCUGGCUCAGCAGAACCUGUGAGGUCCUCAUUUGUCUUGUGAGAAAAAGGACACAGAAUUCUCCUCCAGAAUUUGGGACAAGGCUACCUGCUUUGAGCACCACGUCCUAUUUUCAAAUUUUAUGCCAAUGCAUUCUUGGCUUUUAUGUUUCAGGAGACAUCUUUUGUUUCUUCCACUAAUUUGAGGGGAAAUAAUUUCUGUAAUCUUGUAGGGGAUUUUUUUUUUGGGGGGGGGGAAAUGAAGCACAGUGCUAGUAACAUAACUACCAGGGGCACCAAAUCACUGCUCCUUUUUAGCUACGAUCAAGGUCCACAAAAAGCUGUGAAAAUGAAUAAUGUAAUGCAUUUUGUGUGUUAUUUUCGAUAGUAUAUGCAUUUUGUGCAAACUUUGCCCUGGUAUAGGCAUAUCUGUGGUUUGCCAGGGAUAGUACAGCAUUAUCAUUCAUGAAGCCCAACGCAUAAUUAGAAGAUUUUUAAUGGUUUUGGCUUCAGUCCCCAGCAGAGCUCAACAUCACUUAAUGAUGGUUCCUGCACUAUUUUUGUUAUGUAGUAACAUUAAAACUACUUUGAGCAGAUGUAAAGGCGUGAGCUGCAGUGACCAGGAACAGGUCCAAACCAUGCAGGAGAAUGAAGCUAUGAUUACUCAGAGCAAGAAGACUCAUUUGCUCAGAACUAAUGGCCAAGAUGAAGUCUGACAGGUCCACACAAGUGGGCUACUCUCCCAGCAGGGAAUUUACAAGGUCUUGCCUUAUGUAGCCACUUCCACUUACUAAUGGAAAUGAAAACCAGAUAUGCCCUUCCCAGCAGCUGCCUCGCCACCACCAGAGCUUUGCAUAACUCUUGCUCCACCGUCCUUCUCUAGGGGAGCUCUAUAAAAUAAACAGAUUCAUUACAUGCGGAUUUCCUCUUCCUCUCCUCUGGUUAAACAAAAAGCCUAUUAGAAACAGAAACACACACAUGCACAAUGUAAUUAUGCAUAUAUAUAUAUACAUACAUACACACAGCACAAAAGGGGUAUGCAUACACACAAAAACAUGCACAGCACAAAAAUAUUCACUUCUCUCUCUCUCUCUCUCUCUCUCUCUCUCUCCAUAGUUUUGCAAAUAUGUAGCUUUAUAGUUCCAUGCACACUUUAGCAAAUGCAAACCGUGUAGUAGAAGGUUCAGUUUGCAUCUUUAUUUUGUUUGUGAUGUUUCUACUUAGGUGGGGUUGCCAUAUUUCAAAAAGUAAAAUUCCUGACACACGCAAAGUUCUUGAGCUUUUUUGGGGGGACGGAACCUCCCCCCAAAACAGUGAUUUUAAGCUUUUGGAGCUGUUUCCGCUGCUCUUCCCAUCACAUUGCCAUACAGAUAAAAUUUUGCAGAUAAAAUCGCUCAGAUUCGGGAAGAAGUAGACUCCACCGUGGGAGCAGGGCCGGGGUGGGAGAGUGCUAGAGACCUGUCUAGUCAAGUUGCGUGGGAUCAAUUCCAACCUGUUACCUCCGAGGAUGUGUACAGGCUGCUUGGAUGAGUGAAGCCAACCACCUGUCUCCUGGAUCCUUGCCCAUCCUGGCUUAUAAAAGCUAGCCGGGGUUUCAGAAUGAGACAGGUUUAACAGUGGUUAAGAAAGUUAAAUACCUGGGGAUUAACAUGACAGCAAAAAAUGGGAAUUUAUUUAAAGAUAAUUAUGAAAAAUGUUGGUCGGAAGUGAAAAAAGACUUAGAAAUUUGGUCAAAUUUGAAGCUUUCACAGCUAGGCCGUAUUGCUGCGAUAAAAAUGAAUGUAUUGCCUAGAAUGUUGUUUUUGUUUCAAACUUUGCAGAUUGUCGACAAAAUGGAUUGUUUCAAGAGGUGGCAGAAAGAUAUUUCUAAAUUUGUCUGGCAGGGCAAGAAGCCCAGAAUAAAAUUUAAAAUUUUAACGGAUGCAAAGGAAAGAGGCGGAUUUGCCCUGCCAGACCUUAAACUUUACUAUGAAUCAGCAGCUUUUUGCUGGUUGAAAGAAUGGCUACUUCUUGAAAACACUGACAUUUUGGACUUGGAAGGUUUUAACAAUGUAUUUGGAUGGCAUGAAUAUUUAUGGUAUGAUAAGGUCAAAGCACAUAAAGCAUUUAGAAACCACAUUGUCAGGAAAGCGCUAUUUAAUGUUUGGCUAAGAUAUAAGGAUUUGCUAGAAAAUAAAACCCCAAGGUGGCUGUCACCAAUGGAAGCGAAAGCCUUGAAAAAGGUCAAUAUGGAGGUCAAAUGGCCGAAAUAUUGGGAAAUUUUGGAACAAGAUGGAGAUAGACUGAAAUUGCAGAGUUUUGAAAAAUUAAAAAACAAGGUGCGAGACUGGCUUCAUUAUUAUCAGAUAAUGGAGGCAUUUAAAUUGGACAAGAAAAUUGGCUUCCAGGUCGAAAGAUCCAAAUUAGAAACAGAACUGUUAGAACCCAAAACUAAGAAUUUGUCAAGAAUGUAUACCUUGCUGCUGAAAUGGAAUACUCAGGACGAAACGGUAAAAUCGGCUAUGAUUAAAUGGGCACAGGACAUUGGACAUAACAUUAUGUUUGCUGACUGGGAACAGUUGUGGACCACAGGUAUGAAAUUUACAGCAUGUAAUGCCUUAAGAGAGAAUAUUAUGAAAAUGAUAUACAGGUGGUACAUAACCCCAGUCAAGCUUGCAAAAAUUUAUCACUUGCCCGAUAACAAAUGUUGGAAAUGUAAAGAAACUGAAGGUACAUUCUUCACCUUUGGUGGACGUGCCCAAGGAUUAAGGCUUUCUGGGAAAUGAUAUAUAAUGAAUUAAAAAGGUAUUUAAGUAUACCUUCCUAAGAAACCAGAGGCCUUUCUCCUGGGCAUAGUCGGCCAAAUGGUGUUAAAAAAGGAUAGAACUUUCUUUAUGUAUGCAACAACAGCAGCAAGAAUACUCAUCGCAAAGUAUUGGAAGACACAAGAACUUCCCACGCUGGAGGAAUGGCAGAUGAAACUUAUGGACUAUAUGGAACUGGCGGAAAUGACUGGUAGAAUCCGUGACCAGGGAGAAGAGUCGGUGGAGGAAGAUUGGAAGAAAUUCAAAGACUAUCUUCAGAAACAUUGCAAAAUUAAAGAAUGUUAGAGUGAUGUUGGACUGAAAAUAAGCGGUUUCCAGCUGUACAGGUUAAAGUUAAAUGAUAGACCAAGAUUAAAGAUUAGGAUUAAAGAUGUUUAAAGAAAUGGAAAUUUGACAAUUAAGAGGGAAAAUUUUAAUGUUAUAUUAUACUAAGAUUAAAGAUCAGGUUUAAAGAAGUUGAAGCUAUAUAUUUUAAUAUUAUAUUAAAGUUAAAGAUUGGGAUUAAAAAGUGGAAAAGACAUUGCUGGACAAACAAUUUGGAUUGGAAUACAAAAGAGGGAGGUAUGAGGAAGUCCAGAAAAUAAGUAAACUAAAAAAAGGAAAUGGAAAAGAGAUAUUGUUUUUUUUAAUUGUUACGUUUUUUGUUUAUUAUUGUUGAAUCUUGCUUUUUUUUGUGUGUUUUUGUUAUCUUUUUUUUUUAGAUGUCUUUCUUUUCUUUCUUUGUUGUUUAAAACUUUAAUAAAAAUUAUUUAAAAAAAACAAAAAAACAUAUAAAAGCUAGCCGGGAAGGACUGGGCGAUGGGCUUCGUGGGGUGGUGAAUGCUUCCCUCCGCGAGGGAGCCUUCCCAGACCCGCUGAAAGAGGCGGUUAUUAAACCGCUUCUUAAAAAACCAUCUUUAGAUGCGGCCACGAUGGCCAACUAUCGCCCAGUCUCAAAUCUUCCAUUCUUGGGCAAGGUGAUUGAGCGAGUGGUUGCUGAACAACUCCAGGCACGCCUGGAGGAAGCGGACCAUUUGGAUCCCUUCCAGUCGGGAUUCAGGCCUCAUCAUGGGACUGAAACUGCCUUGGUCGCACUGGUUGAUGAUCUCCGGCGGGCUAGGGACAAAGGUGAGAGCUGUUUCCUAGUUCUGCUGGAUCUCUCAGCGGCGUUUGAUACCAUCGACCAUAACAUCCUUCUGGACCGUCUUGAGGGGCUGGGAGCUGGGGGCACUGUUAUACAGUGGUUCCGCUCCUUCCUCCUGGGCCGUGUUCAGAAAGUGGUGGGGGGGGAUGAGUGUUCAGACCCCUGGGCCCUCACUUGUGGGGUGCCUCAGGGUUCUGUCCUCUCCCCCAUGCUUUUCAACAUCUACAUGAAGCCGCUGGGAGAGAUCAUCAGGGGAUUUGGGCUGGGUGUUCAUCAGUAUGCAGAUGAUACCCAGCUCUACCUCUCUUUCAAAUCAGAACCAGUGAAGGCAGUGAAGGUCCUGUGUGAGUGCCUGGAGGCGGUUGGAGGAUGGAUGGCGGUUAACAGAUUGAGGUUGAAUCCUGACAAGACAGAAGUACUGUUUUUGGGGGACAGGAGGCGGGCAGGUGUGGAGGAUUCCCUGGUCCUGAAUGGGGUUACUGUGCCCCUGAGGGACCAGGUGCGCAGCCUGGGAGUCAUUUUGGACUCACAGCUGUCCAUGGAGGCACAGGUCAAAUCUGUGUCCAGGGCAGCUGUUUACCAGCUCCAUCUGGUACGUAGGCUGAGACCCUAUCUGCCUGCGGACUGUCUCGCCAGAGUGGUGCAUGCUCUGGUUAUCUCCCGCUUGGACUACUGCAAUGCGCUCUACGUGGGGCUACCUUUGAAGGUGACUCGGAAACUACAACUAAUCCAGAAUGUGGCAGCUAGACUGGUGACUGGGGGCGGCCGCCGAGACCAUAUAACACCGGUCUUGAAAGACCUACAUUGGCUCCCAGUACAUUUCCAAGCACAAUUCAAAGUGUUGGUGCUGACCUUUAAAGCCCUAAACGGCCUCGGUCCAGUAUACCUGAAGGAGCGUCUCCACCCCUAUCGUUCUGCCCGGGCGCUGAGGUCCAGCGCCGAGGGCCUUCUGGCGGUUCCCUCAUUGCGAGAAGCAAAGCUACAGGGAACCAGGCAGAGGGCCUUCUCGGUAGUGGCGCCCGCCCUGUGGAACGCCCUCCCACGAGAUGUCAAAGCGAUAAACAACUACCUGACAUUCAGAAGACAUCUUAAGGCAGCCCUGUUCAGGGAAGUUUUUAACGUGUGAUAUUUUAGUGUAUUUUUGGUUUCUAUGGAAGCCGCCCAGAGUGGCUGGGGAAGCCCAGCCAGAUGGGCGGGGUAUAAAUAAUAAAUUAUUAUUAUUAUUAUUAUUAUUACAUGGUUUUCCCUGACAUUUUGCUGAUUCGGCAAAAUUCCCCCCGACGCCAUUUUUACACCCCGAAACCCGGAUAUGUCAGGAAUUUUCCUGACGUAUGUCAAGCCUAACUUAAGGCCAAGCUGGAUCUCUGUUUCUCCAUAACAGCUUAAUCAGGAGAGGACCAGUGUCUCUGUGGGUGAGGAGUCUGUGUGUUUGAGACAUUGGAGAAUCAAUAUUAUUAUUAUUAUUAUUAUUAUUAUUAUUAUUAUUACUACCCCGUCCAUCUGGCUGGGUUUUCCCAGCCACUCUGGGCAGCUUACAGGACAUAUAAAAACAUAGUAAAACAUCUAACAUUAAUUUUUUUGGGGGGAUGAAUUUAAAUCUUUGGAUGGGGUUUUGCUUCCGUUGAAGGAGAAAGUAUACAGUCUGAUCCUGGAUACACCUGAGGCUCAGGUGGCCUUGGUGCUUUUCCUCAGCUUCAGCUGGUAUGACAAAUGUGGCCAUUCUUGUACUAGGAUAGUUUGAUCCUCGUAGUCCAGGCAUUGGUAACUUUAACUUCAACUUCAGCUUCAGCUUCAACUUCAACUUCAACUGGAUUACUGCAACCAGAGGCGGAGCUAGCUGCUCCGGCACCUGGGGAGCAGGGCGAGCAUCCCAGGGGGGCUGUGUGGAGAUGUGACACCCCCCCACCCGGGAUGACACCUUCCUCCACCAGUGACUGAAACGCACUUUAGGUGGGGCUUCCCUCAGGCUUGGUCUGGAAACUGCAGUUAGUGCAGAAUUCCACUGCACAAAUGCUGACACCAUGAAAGAUCCUACUGGCAUGUAAGAAUCUAAGAAGAGUCUGGGGGGAAAACAACCAUAUCACUUUAGCUAGACAUAGGGUGCUACCAAAUGGUGGCUAAGUAUUGUAAAUAGGUUUGAUUUUUCAAACUUAAACAGAAUUAUACGAUAACAAUAUUUCUGUUUAAGUUUGAAAAAUCAAUACAGAAUGUUUAAAAAAACUAAAAGCAAAAGAAUUUGAAAACGGUCCAUUCAGAUAUUGCCAAUGGGUAAUUGGCAACAAGAUUGUUUACGUUCUUGGAUUUCCCCUGAGAAACGUAAAUCUGGAUUAAAUGUGGGGCGGGGAUACAGGCUAGAAUUCAGAUGCUGGUGAUGUUGUUUGGAUGCUGCAGAAAUAUUGCAUUCACUUUAAAAAUGAGAACUGAACAAAAUCCUCAGGAAUCCCUAUUUCACAUUGAUGGAGACCAAUCAAGGUUUGAAAAAAGAAGCAGCUGAUGGCAGCGUGGCCACGUUCCUAGAAAAACAGAAGCCGUGUGGAAACAUUUCUUACCUUUGUUUGAGGCUCCAUCUCCCUUCUCACCACAAAUUGCUUCCAGGGACUGAGACAGCAACUAAGACCACAGAGUUCAGCCAGUGCUUCAAACAAAUUCUGGUUAACCAGGAAUCUCUAUCAGCUCCCACCAGCCUUGUGCCUACAUGCUUGCCUCAUGGCUGAGGGAAUUAUUUGGUUGCAUCUGACCUCCUGGAAGGGUGUGAGGUUUGAGGACCUUCCCAGAAAAAGCUCCGAGAUUAUUCUGUUUCCAUGGCCACAAAUAUCUACAUUUCUCUUCUCUGCAAUUGUUUCCCCCAAGUUUUUGUGUGCUGUUUUGCUGCCAUUGCCUAUCCACACCCAACAAACACUGAUGUCAAGUAGAAGGGGAAAAAAACUAUCCUGAGGGAAUGAUUUUUUAUUUUUAUUUUUUUGCUGUUUGGCAUUUUGAUCUUGAAUAAGCAAUGAUAUUGGUAUUCUAGCAGGCUGAUUUAUCGCCUAGCAGGAAAUAUGGUGUUUGAAAUCACCUCCUUUUACUGAUUCAAUAGAAUUCAACAAGUGAGAAGUCACCAGACAGUGCGUCCUGUGAGUAGGGGAACCAUCGUCUGACAGCACCAGGAUAGUGGUAGGUGGGAUUUCAGCCUUCCUGCUUCUUGCGGCACCCUUGCCAAAUCCUAUGGGAGGAUGGAAACUCUCACGGGAUUUUGCAAGGAAUUGAGCAGCUGUGGGCUUAAAAGUCUCAGCUGCACAGAAACCUGCGCUAUUUUGCCCCAUGUGCUCCCACGAGCUGUGAGGCCUCCUGCUGGAGAAGUCAUAAGAAACAUGCAUUUUACCUCAGAGGGUUCUGGAACUGGAAUGUUGGGAUCUCAUUAAUGACAGGCUUUGGCUUGAAUUGUUCAACCCAGGGAGGUUGGAUAAAAGCAUGGUUGCCCCAAAUGGAAGGGCCCUACUUCAUAACCCUCCCAAGAUGGUUCACUGGGAGUACAACCAGGGCAAGUGUCAUAGGGUUAGCUGCUAGUAUGGUCAUGACUGUGACUCACACGGGGGACCACACCCUAGUCAAAUCAUAACUAUGGGCAGUCUCAACUCCCAGGUAACAAAAAAGACAGCCCCUCUUCUGCCUUUGCCACCAAGAAACGACACAGUUCAGGAUGGUGUGAGCUCCCUGGGCUUGGCCCACAUCCCAAGGACCCAUUGAUCUCUCCUUGAUGCUCACAUCCACUGUCAAACAGCAGUUUGUCUCUGGGAAGGCUUCACCCAUGAUUUCCAGAUUCUAGCCAUGAGUCAGCAUUGCACCAUUGAUGCUCCCAAUCCAAUAUCAGUAAGGGGUAUGCUUCAUAUCACAGACAAAAUGAUAGCAAAGGAAGUCACAGUGGGCAGAAUCACUGGCCCCUUCUCUCUCUUCCCCCCCAGUUCUGGACUUGAGGAUUCCUACCUCCAUCAUCCCAGACAGUAUCCAAAAAGGCACCAGGUGAGUUCUGACUGAUUCACAACCCAAAGGGUUCUUCAAUUAAGGAUCUUGUACCACUUGAGCACUGCUCCAUCAGAUGUACCUCUUUCAGCAAGGUGGUGGAACUCAUGCAGAGCUGUGGCCUAGACCUUUUUGGCAAAAUCCGAUACCCAUGUGUGUUUUGGGUGCUUCCCAAUCAUCAGACUUAAUUCCAUUCCAAUAACAAAGGCUGCCUGGAAUGCUGACCCAACCUUUACACUUCUGCCAUGCCAUUUCCCUCAUGUAUAACCAAAUAAAAUUGUGGCCUG